GUUCAGGCUUUUUGAAUGUCUGUCCCUAGCCACAAAGGUGAGUUGUGGCUUGCAUCACAUUUGACUGCUUUUGAGUCCCCAGCCUGAGUGAGCAGACCACUAUUUAACUAGGGGGCAGCCUGCAGCACAAGUCCAAAGCAGGGUUCAAGUUCACACCUCUGGCCACGUCGGUGUAUGGACCCAGCCCUGAAGCUGUACUUUGACCCCUUAAGUGCUGCCAUAUUAUCCUCGCUUGAUUUUUUACACUAAAAUAGUAACGCUAGAUUGACACACGAUGCUUUUAAAGCCGGGGGAGGGACGGUUGUUUAUUUUUUUUCAGAUAAGACCCUAAUAUUUUAAACUGGCAUCUUUUAAAACAGGCCCUAGAAAAUAUUUUAAAGUGCCCUGACAUUGUCAGGAAAUGGCAAUCAUAUCCUAGGGAUGUAUUAUCCAAGCAUUAUUUCUGCACAAACAGUUGACUGCACUGCACUGUCACAUCAUCAUCAUUAAAAAAAAAAACCAGCAGAAGCCACAGGUUAAUUGCUCACAUUUACUGCACACUUCAAGGUGACCUCAUACAAAAGAUUAAGCGUAGCAGCUGUUUGAACUUUACAGGCUGAAAUUUCAUGCCAUUUGUUGGAAUUACUUUUUAAUUAGCCCUUUGGGAGCUGUAUGUGGUGUUUAUUGAUUAAUCCUUUGGAAGCUUUUUUUCUUUUAUAACAGAUUAAUUCUAUAUUUGGUUGCCUCUUUCUUGUUUGUUUGUUUGUUUGUUUGUUUGUUUGAUUCCCCCUUAUCGUGAAUGGUGACAGUAACAUUCAGUUAACCAAGUGGAAGAAAGGACAGAGACAUCCUAAAAGCUCCUCACUGCACCCCCAUAGAAGUGUAAAGAGCCAUAGGACAAAAGCAAAUCAGACCUAAAAUGUUUCCCAAGAAUUCUUCCGCCACCAUGAUCGUUCUUGACUCUGAUGUCUGGCCCCACCAACUCCCACUGGACUCUGGAGAAUAUGCUUCCUGCAGGACCCGCCUUCCAGGACACAGCUGUGUAGGUGACUUGGAGAUCCUGAGGAGCUUGACAGAGCAGCAGUGCUUCUUCACCACAUGUCACCACAAUCUCUGAAAGUGCCUGGGGAGCCCCAUGAAUCAAGCACCAAACUGUAAGACACAAGUAUACACAUUGUAAAAGAUUAAUCUAAACAUUCUUGGCUUCCCAAAGAGCACCCUAUAAAAAUCGCUUAGAAAAGUAAGAAUCAGAAAUGAAAAGCUUUCCAUUUACCAUUGCUUAGGAUGACAAGCUGGGUGUAGUAUACUGAAGGCAUGGCUGGCUGCUGGCUUGAAUUGAAGAGGAGCGCAAAGUUUGCUCUUUGUAGGAGGAGCUGUGUGAGCAGAAGGAGGCAGCUGCUACUUCUACCACUGAGCAAACACCUCUGUAGAGGGACAGCUGGGGAAUCCCCCUGAAAUCCACUCCUCACAGAGAAAACCCCUGGGUAGAUUAUGCAGGCUCCACCUCUUCAGCUUGUUAGGGCUCUCCCACUUCUCCUUUAGCAGACAGGGCUUCCUCCCCUGCUCCUCUGUGCCGCUGAGCUCAACAGACAACAAAACUGGCCAUUGCUGACCAUGUGCGUCAGCCACAGUUGCUGCUGAGCAGGCAGCAGAUGGAAUUGAAUGCAAGUGCAGCCAAGAAUAAACCAUGUUCCAUGGCAUUUCAGAACCCAUUAGUAAGCCCCCAGGUUUUGACACCAGAUAAACAACUCCAUGCAUCACACACCGUAACUGGAGAGCUAACAAUCCCUUUUCUAUCAUCCUAUCCUUUCCAUAAACUUAUCCUGGCUCCUUUAAUCUUCUGUAACUUUUAUGACCCUAUGCUCUGGCUUUAAGAGCUUGUCUACGCAGAAAAUUUUACCAGCUUAACUGGCGUCAAGUACACGGCUGUUAUUAUGCUAGUACAAUUUUGCCUGUGCACAUUCAUAUGCCACAAAAAGGGUACCUUUGUAUGGUUUUGUUCAUAUUGUAUUCAAAGCUCACAACUGAGAAGUUAUACAACUGUAGUGGUAUAAAUAUAAAAAUUGGUAUAUUAAUUGGUUUAAUAGAUUUAUAAUUAGAUUGGUAAAAUUUCCCUCCGUAGACAAGUUAAAGUUUCUGGCAUCAGAUUCGUUUUGACACGCUCUCUAACUUUCAGACAAGAAAUGUCAUUGCUUACAAGCUGUGCAAGCCCUCCCCGUGGAAUUUUUUUGAGGAAGUUCAAAUAAACAUUUUAUGAGUCAUG